rnacentral:tRNA from 1 species
GCGGGCGUAGCUCAAUGGUAGAGCACUUGGUUCCCAACCAAGGUACGUGGGUUCGAUUCCCAUCGCCCGCUCCA